rnacentral:rRNA from 1 species
AUGUGGCAAAUGAUGAUUACAUAUAUGAGUCACAAGAAUAUGAAACCCAAUAUGAUGAUGACAAUCUUGAUGUGGACGAUGAGGGCUUCAUUGUCAAGGGAAGAAGUGGAAAUUAUAGCACCGCGGAUGAUGUGCCGAUAUGCACCGCUUGGAAGAAAAUCUCUCAAGAUGCAAGCGUUGGAAGCGACCAAACGGUGA